UACGGGGGGAGCAAGCGUUGUUCGGAUUUACUGGGCGUAAAGGGCGCGUAGGCGGCCACCGCAAGUCGACUGUGAAAUCUCCGGGCUUAACCCGGAAAGGUCAGCCGAUACUGCGGGGCUAGAGUGCAGAAGGGGCAACUGGAAUUCUCGGUGUAGCGGUGAAAUGCGUAGAUAUCGAGAGGAACACCUGCGGCGAAGGCGGGUUGCUGGGCUGACACUGACGCUGAUGCGCGAAAGCAUGGGGAGCGAACGGG
rnacentral:rRNA from 1 species